rnacentral:rRNA from 1 species
AUUGAACGCUGGCGGCAGGCCUAACACAUGCAAGUCGAGUGGAUGAAGGGAGCUUGCUCCUGGAUUCAGCGGCGGACGGGUGAGUAAUGCCUAGGAAUCUGCCUGGUAGGGGGGGAUAACGUCCGGAAACGGGCGCUAAUACCGCAUACGUCCUGAGGGAGAAAGUGGGGGAUCUUCGGACCUCACGCUAUCAGAUGAGCCUAGGUCGGAUUAGCUAGUUGGUGGGGUAAAGGCCUACCAAGGCGACGAUCCGUAACUGGUCUGAGAGGAUGAUCAGUCACACUGGAACUGAGACACGGUCCAGACUCCUACGGGAGGCAGCAGUGGGGAAUAUUGGACAAAGGGCGAAAGCCUGAUCCAGCCAUGCCGCGUGUGUGAAGAAGGUCUUCGGAUUGUAAAGCACUUUAAGUUGGGAGGAAGGGCAGUAAGUUAAUACCUUGCUGUUUUGACGUUACCAACAGAAUAAGCACCGGCUAACUUCGUG